GCAUCAUGCAGUUGAAGCACCUGAGGACCCUGCUGAGCCCUCAGGAUGGCGCUGCGAAGGUGACCUGCAUGGCCUGGUCCCAGAACAAUGCUAAAUUUGCUGUCUGCACAGUGGACCGAGUGGUGCUGCCGUAUGAUGAGCAUGGGGAGCGGAGAGACAAGUUCUCCACCAAGCCAGCCGACAUGAAGGGGUGACAAGAAGGUCAUCUGCAACAAGUUCAUCCAGAUGGUAAAGCCCAGAGUCUGUCUGCUUGUGAGUGUGACCAGGCACUGCCUUUGCUAAAGCUGGUCUGACCUGCUAAAGGAUGGCACUGCCUGGCUGCUCAUUGACAUCUACUAAAGAGAGCCUAGUUGUAUUCCCUCCUCCAUAGAAGACUUCCCCUGUAGAAGACUAGGGUGCUGUCUGUGGUGGGUGUCGGCUGUCAUAGAGCUGCUAAUCCACACAGGCGGGUUGUUCCUUUACCCU